UGUAAAAAAAAGAAGAAGAAGAAAGAUUCUAAUUGAUUCAGAUAUGAUAAUACUGAAAAUAAGAAAAAGAUGUCAAACAUCACAAAAAAGUGACUUCUUCUCAGAUCCUAAACCAAAUUAUGUACAACUGAAAACUACAAGAAAAAGCAAAUGAAAAUUAGAAAAAAAAAAGGAAGAAAGAAGUUCGAAAAAAGGAGGAGCCAUUUCAUAAUAUUGAAAACAGAUAUCUCAAUGUUCCAUUAAUUGCCAACGGAGAUCGGCCUCUGUGCUAACCCUAGGGGAGAUCUGCAGCGCUUCUGUCGGGCGAUCUCAUGAACAACCGGUCUAAUCUCCGGCUGCUGGAGCGCCGGGUGAUUGAUCUUUUCCAUUUCUUGCCUGAUCUUCCGAACUUGGCUAUGAAUCGGUACGCCGCCGACGAAUCCACCUUCUUUGCUAAUUAUCUGCUCCAUUUUAGGCGUAAGUUUUUCUGCAGAAACCACGCCUUA
rnacentral:lncRNA from 1 species